CCACCUCGGCGCCACCCCCUCACCUCACCUAGCACGUACCUCCGCCAUCCGCCGAUGCCUAGAUCCGCCAUCAGCCGACACCGUAGAAGAGAAAAUCGGCCUUCAGGUAUCCUUUUCGAUGAUACAACCUUGUUUUUUUAUUGUAUAUUUUGGUUCGAAUCCAUCAUCCCCUUGCUGAUUGUGUUAGAUGUAGCUCCUCUCUGGGUAAAAUUUGAUGAUAUCUCUCUGUAUCAGGGCGAAGAAAAAAUAGUCGCUGAAAAAACUUGCUAUUUUUUUUUGCGUAGACUACAUAUUUGUGCAAGUACAUAUAGAAAAAUGGCAGCAACUUGUGGCUUGAGAUUAGUGCGAAGUAAUUUCAACUGAGUUCAAAGUAAAAUGUCAGCAAACGUACGUAUACAAAAAAAAUCAGAAACUUGGAACAAGUAGUUUUGGUGUGAGGUGCAUGAAGCAUCUAGCACCUUUACAAAUUAAUGGAGGUUAAUAAUAGUACAUCCAUUCCCAUCUAGUCAGAUCCUUGGUUAUAUUUUAGAAUCAAUUGUUCUGACACAACCAAUGAAGAAAAUGGCUGGUAUGGAUGAGCAAAACAGUUUUACUUAGAAGGAAAGGAAACAAAAAGAAAAGAGAAGCUAGAUACAGCAGGAAAUCCAUUUUUUGCAAGUUUUGAUUCAGAGUUCUUUCCUUUUCCGCAUGUUCAUCCUAAUCCUAUGUAUUGGUGAAGAUCGAAUAGUCCAAAAUAAAUGAGCUACUACCUGAACAUUAUUGUUCGUUUGUUCUGAAAUAAGUGGAGGCUAGCAAUCUUAGGACAUUUAAUUUCAUUUCAUCCUCCUCUGCUACUAUGACCACCAUGCCAAUUAGAAUGGAGCUAAAAUAGUAACAGGUAGAUUUCGUUUGGAACAAAUAUGAGGAAAUUACAAAAACGCGUGGAACAAUUAUCAGGGAAAAAAUCUCAUCAUGUAAGGAAUGAGUCUGCAGCUAAUUAAUUAGAAGGAGCAAAUUAAGUAGCAGAUGAGAUGUGAUUGGUGGGCAUACUAUCGUUGGGCCCAUGGAAGUGGAUGAAGAACUAUUGCAUCCCAUUGUUGAUCAUAUCCACCUUGUAAUCACACAUCACCUUGACACAACAACUGAGAAAACAUAGCCAAAAGGAUUCUUCUUUCAGAACUAGUUUUGGUCAUUGGUCUUCCUCAUUCAGGUGUAAAAAAAUUAUUACUUAUACAAGUAGUUUUGGUUGACUGAAUUAAAUUUAUUAGCUCUUUUGUCUUCCUCAUUCAGAUGCAAUAUUUUACUUAUAGAAGUAGUUUUGGUUGACUGAAUUAAAUGUAUUAGCUCUUUUGUCUUCCUCAUUCAGGUGUAAAUAAAGGAACUAAAUUCCUACAAAUUUAGCAUUUUUUGCUAUGUGUCAUGACAUGCCUUGAUGCAUUGCUAAAUAUAUGUUGUUGCACUCAGGAAAAAGGUAAAUAAACCAUAAUUUAAAUAGUAUAUCGUUUGUCAUGUUUUCACAAAUUCACUUUUCUUCUUGUUUGCAGAGCAAGUAGCGUCUACAAAGGUUCAACAUCAGCAAAUUGUUCUGAUUACCAAGACGGACAUGACAACUCAAACAAUAUUUAUAUAUGAUCGAUUAAAACAUGUUGAAUAUGUUUGCAAAAAAAAUUCACUUGAACUUGCUUGAUAUUUUGCAGCACAGUGCAACCCAUUGGAGCAGACAUCCUUUACUUUCCAGUAAAUAAUGGAUGAAAAAGUGCCUUCGUUCAUGUGAUAUAUUGACCUAGUUCAAGUACACCUGGUUGAAUAUGUUGGUCCAAUAUAUGUAUACCCGCUAAUUUGCUAUGCCUUGGUUGUAAAUAUUGGGAUGCAACUCGAGUUAUGUGUUUCAUGGUAGAUUUGUGUGUUUUAUCACGCAUGUCGUUCAUGAUAUUGUUGUUGUACUAUGAGCUUUGAAAUGGCGAGAUGGUUGUUGUGUUGCCUUCUAAGUUGACAAAGGUGGUUAAUAUGACUGAUGUUGUCCUCUCUGCAUCUUUGGUGCAGAAUUUAUGAGUCCAAAAAUCUUGGUUCAUGAA
rnacentral:lncRNA from 1 species